GCUGUCUGUUUCUCAGCAGCUCUGAAGGUUGUAGAAACUUUAAAUCAACCUGCUGGGAGACCACCGAGGAGCUGCAACACAGAGCCCAGGUGUCUCGUUGAAAUGGGAAGUGACCAGUCGAGAUGCUGGUCUCGGGCCUGUUCGGACAAACAGGAGCAGACCGUCAUGGACCAACGAGGAGAUGAUGAAACAGAGGCGUUCCUAAAGGACAGGAAGGAGACACAAUGCUCCGUCAGCUCAGAGGACACACCCGCUGAUUAUUCUUUGGACCUUCCUCCAGUCAGCAAACCCAUACUGGAUUUGGCCCAGAAGAUGUCGGAGGAUAUCGUCGCUCAGGCUCUGCUGCUCUGCUGGGAGGCGGAGAUUCAUUACAAAGAGCUUCCUUUCAUUGACAUUGAGAGUGAAUAUGUUAUAUGAGCUCAGACUUAACCUGGAUUAAAAAGUGCUGCUGAACUGAACGGGUGUAACCAAGUUCACAUCCUGCUGUUCCUUUAAUGUGAACAUUUUUAUGGAGUUUGUGCUCAUUCCACGACAUCACGACACGUUGUGAGUCUGUGUUGCAACCAAGAAUGUGGUCGAGUAGAAGUAAUAUUUUUCUUGAGACCUGUUAAACCUGCUCUAAACAGUAUUCAUGCAAUAAAAAUGUGACGGAUUAACUGACAUUUGGUGCUCUAGUGAGUAUUUGGGGCAGGCGGACGGUGUGUGUUCAUGGUAAUAAAGGAACAACAGUGAGGCUGA